UCCUAAAAAAUACUUAACUAAAUUAAUUUAUCAUGGGAAAUUUUAUCCAUCUCACUCCUAGAACCACCAAGAACCUCCAUAAUGGUUCAUUUGUUUCCAUAGAUUUCAAUAAGUUGAUUCCCCUAGAAAUCUGAUAAAGAAUCAUAUAGAACGAUGAAGGCAUCCCUAUCCUCAACACUAAGGAAUUUGUUAUGAAUUUCAUCUAAUUUUAUCCUAAAAAAUUAAGAAGAUCAAGCAAAGAGUUAAAAAGAGCCAUUUUUAUUUUCUUGAAAUCUUCAAGAAGUCUUCUUCCUUCCCUUUUACGAUCCCUUAUUUCUCUAUAUUUUGCUUCAUCCUUGAAUCAUUUCUUUUGACUUCAGGCUCUGAAUAUGAAUUAACUAGAGUUUUGAUCAUCUUGCGACGCAUUCUUCUACUAUUAAUUUUUGCUCCUCUAUCUAUAUCGCUCCUACUUGGAGCAAUCUGAGCACGUUCAUAUACAAUCAUAUCUGAAAAUAGAAAUAAGAAAUUAAAAAUGUGGUUGUUACAAUUUAAUACGACAAUUUAUGUCACAAAUUUUUGGUAGAGGAAAAAAAAGAUCAUAAAAAGGUUCUUAAAAAGUUAGAAGAUUUUAUUUUUCACAUAAAAAUUCUGGAAAGACCAAAAGGAAUAUAGCAUGAAUAUAUAAGUAUUAGGCAAAAAUAUUUAACAAUUUAUUUCAAAAACACUAAAAACAAAAGCAGCUUUUCGUCAGAAAAAUAGUCAAAAAGUAUCAAUCUUCAAAAAAAUAUAUCUCACUCGUUUUAAUCCGUUUUUCACAAAUAACAAAUUUUUUGAAAUACCAAAAAGAGUAGAUCAUGAUUAUAUUAGUCUUAGGCCAAAAUAUUUAAGAAAAGAUGGCUAAAAUGCAAAAAACCAGAAAUUAUUUUCUUUAAAACUUGUCAAAAAUUAGCCAACAAAAAAAAACUCUCAACCUAGACUUAUGAAAAGCAAUUUCAAGAUAAUCUACGUAUAUAACUGGAUAAUUCAACUAUGCUCUGAUACCGAUAUAAUAUAAUUCGAUGCAAAAAUAAUAGAUUGUGUACCUUAAAUUCGCAUCACAUAUUAUUGUUGUUGUUGUUGUUGUUUCUACCAAAAGAAUAUGCCCCAAGUCUCCUUUGAUUUCACUAGGAAAUAAAGGUUAAAAUUCACAAACUAAAUAUCUUUUAAUGUAAUGAUGUAAUCUGGAAAGUCAAAAUUGCUUUUUUUUCUAUAUAAUUUUUCCUCUUGUUUUCUACGUAAUGUCUCUUAUGCUCUCUCUUGUGAAGCAGAAGACUUUCCCUUUUUAUUAGGAGAGGAUAAGCAGUUAUCAGAUAAAUG
rnacentral:lncRNA from 1 species